rnacentral:rRNA from 1 species
GCAGCCGCGGUAAUACGUAGGGAGCAAGCGUUAUCCGGAAUUACUGGGUGUAAAGGGAGUGUAGGCGGGACUGCAAGUCAGAUGUGAAAAUUAUGGGCUCAACUCAUAACCUGCAUUUGAAACUGUAGUUCUUGAGUGAAGUAGAGGUAAGCGGAAUUCCUAGUGUAGCGGUGAAAUGCGUAGAUAUUAGGAGGAACAUCAGUGGCGAAGGCGGCUUACUGGGCUUUUACUGACGCUGAGGCUCGAAAGCGUGGGGAGCAAACAGGAUUAGAUACCCC